GAAUUGCUUGCAGCGUUUUCUGGGCUUUCUUCCUUUUAUUAUGCAAAAACGAAUACAUGCGCAAGCAUCGGAUCACAACCCACGUACUACCGGUUUUACCGCGUCCAUCCCCGCGCCCGAUCGAGGUGGCCAGUCACCCGCACGGCUUGGCAUGCUGUGAGCUAAUCUCAACUAACAGACUCUGCAUGGCUACCACACGUCGGUGCUCAUGCACAUGCAAUGUAAAAGGAAUCCAAAGCUAACUAAGCUAACUAAGCUAAUUAUGCGAAGUUUACUAACAAAACUCCCCCUAAACCUCGCACAAUUUCUUCACCUCGACGACGCCAAUCCUGGACCGAAGCUCCAAGAACCGAUCACGCCCAAGUGCUUUCGUCAAGAUGUCUGCAAGCUGCUCAUCAGUGUUGAUGUACUCUAUAUUCACCCUUCCUUCCUCGACGCACUCUCUGAUGUAGUGGUAUCUUGUAUCGAUAUGUUUACUGCGAUCAUGAAAGACGGGAUUCUUGCUCAGCAGAAUUGCAGAUUGAUUAUCUACCUUCAGUGUGACCAAGCUGGCCUCUUCUCCUCUCAAUUCAGCCAACAGCCGCGACAGCCACACUCCCUGGCACGCAGCAGUCGUCGCCGCAAUAUACUCGGCUUCACACGACGACAAGGCCACAACCUUCUGUUUUUGUGAUUGCCAGGUGAUCAAAUUGUUUCCAAGGAAGAAGAAGACCCCGGACGUGCUCUUGCGCGUGUCGACGUCGCCAGCAAGAUCACUGUCACUGUAUCCUGUGAGAACUGCAGCAUCCUUCUUCCUCCUGUACAGACAGCCAAAGCUGGUGGUGCCGGCAACAUACCUGAGCACCCUUUUUACUGCCGCCAAAUGCUCGACCGUGGGUUUCUCCAUGAAGCGGCUGACAUAUCCCACGGCGUAAGCCAAAUCCGGCCUUGAAUUGACCAAAUACCGCAGCGACCCCACGAUCUUCCUGUACUCAGUAGCAUCAACAAGUGGCGAUUCACUGAACUUACUGAGCUUCAAUCUUGACUCCAUGGGAGUCAGGCUGAGAUUACUUCCUGCCAUCCCGGCGAGAUCCAGUAUCUUCUCGGCGUAGGCUCGUUGGCUCACGGUGAUACCUUGAUCAUCUUGCUUCACCUCCAGGCCCAAGUAAUACUUCAACAAGCCGAGGUCGCUCAUUUGGAACGUGCCCUUCAUUUCUUGCUUGAAUUGUUCAACUUCAGCCGGGAUGCCACCAGUGAUGACCAGAUCAUCGACGUAAACGCCAACAACCAGUCGAUGUGUUCCUGCACCGCGAAAAUAAACUGCAUGUUCCGACGCGCUCCGGUGAAAACCGAGCGUCAGUAGCGACGCAUCGAGCUUGGCGUACCAAGCGCGUGGGGCUAGACGCAAACCGUACAGCGCCUUGUCGAGACGCAACACCAUGUGCUCCUUCCCGGCUACGAUGAACCCCGGUGGCUGUGCGACAUGAACCUCCUCCCGGAGCUCGCCGUUGAGGAAAGCGGACUUUACGUCCAUGUGGUGAACCACCCAGCCUUCGCACGCCGCGUGCGCCAGCAGUAGCCGGACAGACUCCAGCCUGGCCACCGGCGCGAAAACUUCAUCGAAAUCAAUUCCUUGCCGUUGCACAUACCCCUUGGCCACGAGUCGCGCCUUGUGCUUGGUGACAUUCCCGGCGGCGUCCUUCUUGGUCUUGAACACCCAUUUGAGCCCAAUGGGGCGCUGAUGCGCCGGUGCAUUGACCAGUCGCCAGGUGUUGUUUGCCUCGAUCGACUUCAUUUCUUCGAACAUUGCCUGGCGCCAGCACUCGUGGUGCUCGGCUUCAGCGAACGAUGUUGGUUCUUUGGCUGAAACAAACAACAAAUCUUCGUCGAAGUCGCGUGACGCCAGUCCCGGUGGGGUUGCGGGGCCGAGGAUGUUCUCCAUGGUUCGAAACCUGAGCGGUGCAUCAUCUGCAUCGUCAUCAAGGUUAGCUUCAUGGUUAGGUGGUGGCGACGUGAACUCCACAUCUGGCGCGGCUUGCGUUGAUGUUGGCGCCGGCGAGCUGCGUGCCCGCGACAAUACAACUGACGAUGAUGACCCGCCCCGCUCCGGCGUGGGCGGACCACCUGGUUGCUGAGUGCCUUGCUCUGGUGCCAGGCCUAUGACUGUGAGAUCCGCGAUCAUGUCUUCGAUGGUGAAGUCGCUGACGACGCCUUCUGGUUCCUCAUCAUCCCAAUUCCACUGGGCUUCCUCAUCAAACACGACGUCACGUGAGACGUGCACGCGUCGUGUGGCUGGGUCGUAGACACGAUAUGCCUUGGACCCAGCCUCGUACCCCACGAAAAUCAUGGGCUUGCUCCGAUCAUCAAGUUUCUUCAAGUGAGGCUUGGUAAUCUUGACGUGGGCGAUACACCCAAAAGUGCGGAGGUGGUGCACAGCCAUUGCGGCGCCGUUCCACAGCUCGUACGGCGUCUUGCCCCCGAUGCUCUUUGAGGUCGAUCUGUUCAGCAAGUAGACGGCCGUGUUCACCGCCUCCCCCCAAAAUAUGCCAGGGAGCCCUUUCGCUUUCAGCAUACUCCGAGUUGUGCCCACCACCGAUUGAUUCCGGCGCUCAACGACGCCGUUCUGCUGCGGUGAGUACGGCGCCGUCAGUUCUCGACGCAGCCCGAGCUCGGCGCAGUAGUCGUUGAAGUGCGCCACCGAGAAUUCCCCGCCGCGGUCCGUGCGUAGUGCACGAACCAGCCUGCCCGUCUGGCGCUCGGCGGCGGCUUGGACGUGUUUGAUGGCGGCCGGAGCAGCGUCCUUCGACGGAAGAAGCUUGAGCCACAUGUAGCGGCUAAAAAAAUCAACGAGGAGCAGGAAGUAGCUAUUCCCGCUGGGAGUCGGNNNNNNNNNNNNNNNNNNNNNNNNNNNNNNNNNNNNNNNNNNNNNNNNNNNNNNNNNNNNNNNNNNNNNNNNNNNNNNNNNNNNNNNNNNNNNNNNNNNNNNNNNNNNNNNNNNNNNNNNNNNNNNNNNNNNNNNNNNNNNNNNNNNNNNNNNNNNNNNNNNNNNNNNNNNNNNNNNNNNNNNNNNNNNNNNNNNNNNNNNNNNNNNNNNNNNNNNNNNNNNNNNNNNNNNNNNNNNNNNNNNNNNNNNNNNNNNNNNNNNNNNNNNNNNNNNNGGGCUGGGUGGAGCGGCUCAGGGCGCGUUGCGGGAAGGGCGCCCGACGGUGCUUGCCGGCGAGGCACGCUUCGCAGACUUGAUCAACUUGUGUCAGCAUUGGCAGCCCGCGCACGAGCUCUUCUCGGCUCAUCUUGCGCAGCGCGGUGAAGUUGAUGUGGCCGAACCGCGCGUGCCAUCUCCAGGCAUCCUCGCCGGCGUGCGCCGUUAAGCACACCGGACGCGCGAGCUUGGUGUCGAGGACGUACAGGCGUCCCGGACUCCUCGGGAUCCUCGCGAGCAAGCGUCGUUGUUCGUCACGGACGCGCAUGAUGCCACCCUACACACGCACCUGAAAACCAACUUCAUCGAGUUGUCCGAUGCUUAUUAUGUUAGCUGCAAGGCGGGGCAGACAGUAUGUGUUGGCGAGCGUGCGGUGUUCUCCAUUCUUGCAGGCGAAGAGGAUCGUCCCACGACCCUCAAUCUUGACAACGGAGCCAUCCCCGAGUCGAACAUUUCCGGUGACGGCAGUGUUGAGGUCAGAGAAGGCCGCCUUGCACCCGGUCAUGUGGUUUGAUGCGCCGGAGUCCAUGAUCCAGCUCCGCGGGUCACGAUCGAUCUCGUCAUCCACGGCGGCAAAAACUUUUUUCUCGUGGAGCUCGCCGACGUCGUGGAGCUCGCCAACGUCGUGGCAUGUUGUGGAUGCCGUUGGCGAGAAAGUUUCUGACGAGCUUGUUGUCGUGGGCCGAGUUGGAUCGGCGACGUCGUCGCUGCCUCCCAUCAGAAGCAUCAGCGUCGGCUCGUCAUCUUGGGCCACGUUUGCCUGUUCGUCCCGCUUGUGCUUGCUUCUGCAGUCCUUGGCCCAAUGGCCAUAUUUGCCGCAAUUGCGACAUUUGUCAUCCUUGCGGACCGGCCCGGAGUUUGAACCAUCCGAGCCGCCGCUCCCGCCGGUGCCGCCGUUGCCCGAUCGCCCCUUGCCGCCGCGGCGCUUGCCGCGACCGCCGGAGCUCGAGCCGCCGGAGCGCUUAGCCUCCUGCUCCUUCUUCUUGUGCCGCUCGAGCCACUCCUCCUCCGUGAGGUAGAGCUUGUCUCCGGCACCCUGGGAGGCAGGCGAGGAUUGACCGGAAUCUUCCGCCGCCUUCAGCCUACCCGUGACCUCCUCCAUGGACAGUGUAGAUAUAUCUAGGAGUGUCUCAAUUGAAAGAACAAGUUGACUAAACCUCGGGCGCGCAACGCGCAAGUAUUUUUCGACGACCUUGGUGGCGGGCUCGGGGUCGCCGAGGGUUGCCAGCUGAUUGACGACGCCGGCUAGCCGCAUCGCGAAAUCCUCCACGUGCUCCCCAUCGCGGAAGGCGAUCGCCUCGUACUCGGCACGCACCCGCUGCGCGCUGGCCUUGCGGAUGCGAUCGUCGCCGACGCGCAUGGUCCUGAUGCAGUCCCAUGCCUCCUUCGCGGAUGCCUUGGUUGCCAGCGUUGAGAUCAUCUCAAGCGGCACGACGCUGCAAAUCGCGUCGAGGGCCAUCCGAUCUUCCUGGACCUCCACCUCGGCCUCCCCGGGUUCGAUGGCGCCCCAGAGAGACCGCGCCUGCAGCUUGAUCCUCAUGAGAAGGGACCACUCGUUGUAGUUUGUCUUCGUGAGAACUGGGUAGUUCGCCGGGCCUCCGGACUCCUUGACCACGCGGUGUAUCACCAGCCCGUGGUUGUUCCCGCCGCUGCCCGAAGCGCGGCCGCCGGCAUCUCGUGGAGUUGGAGGGCAUCUACUUCCUGGAUGACCUGUGCUUCUACGACCCCAUGAUCGUGUUCAGGGCGAGAGCCCAACGGCGAUACCUCUGCAACGAUUGUCAGGAAUUCGCUAGAAGAUUGCUGGCUAGAACACAGAAUCAACGCACACGAUUUCUGGACGAACACUUAGCACACAAAGAACAAGAACUACUGUAGAGAAAAAGACAACGAAGAACACACUCUGGGUUUGGUGCUGCCUGAAUUGCUUGCAGCGUUUUCUGGGCUUUCUUCCUUUUAUUAUGCAAAAACGAAUACAUGCGCAAGCAUCGGAUCACAACCCACGUACUACCGGUUUUACCGCGUCCAUCCCCGCGCCCGAUCGAGGUGGCCAGUCACCCGCACGGCUGGGCAUGCUGCGAGCUAAUCUCAACUAACAGACUCUGCAUGGCUACCACACGUCGGUGCUCAUGCACAUGCAAUGCAAAAGGAAUCCAAAGCUAACUAAGCUAACUAAGCUAAUUAUGCGAAGUUUACUAACAACGAUGUCGGGAUAUGGUCGGGAAGACCACCGCAUGUCAAGCGUUGCAUCCCGGCGUAUGGUCCGUCGAGCGAAUCCUCUCCAGUUUGGGUUCUCCCUUAGAUGAGACAACGAGUUUCGGCAGAGCAUCGAUCAGAUCAAGUAAGUAGUAUGUGGUCAUGCUGAGUUCGAUGGUGUUGUCGUGUUGAAAUUUUUUCUUGCUGGUGUAAGCUGGCGAAGGAAUUCUCAAUUCAGUGAAUAAAUGAUGUUGAAUUCGUCGUUCACCUAGUUUCUGUGUAAUUGCAUUUUGAUUCGGGUUUCUUUAAGCUUUAGUGAGAUUGCAAUGUGCAAAUAUCUGAACUGAUAUCUGCACAUUGUUCUGUUUCUUGCUAACUGGAUAGUCAUGUUACAGUGUUAUUGAUCUGCACCAGUGAAUUCCAAUCGAGUGGCUGAUUGAGUUUGAUGCAUCAUCCUAAAUAUUUGUUAGCUGAAACCGGAAACGGCACUCAUUUACGCAAUGUUUGUGCACCAUUUGCUACCUUUGAUUCGGUUGCGCUCUUGGACGAUUCAACAUGUUUGCACGUCGUUGCAACUGGUAGUUUCAGUGUGGACUCGUGCAUGGAUGUUCUUGGAUUCUGUGACCCAGGGCACACCCCAUUUCUGUUGUUUUUGGAUCUAGAUGCUGGGUGUCCAUUUCUUUAUUCAAACUGUAUUAGAAUGAAAGCCAAAAUUUGCUCUGUACACUUGCAGCCUACUUUCCCUCAGGGCUUUCUGUAUAUUUAACUGUGAAUCGACAAUACUGAAGUUCUUGGUUCUAAUGAAAAUUCCACUAAGUUAGAUGUUCAUACUUCCAUCUUGUCCUUGCAUUGUCCACUUUCGUUCUUCUCAAAAGCAAAUAGAUGCUCGGUUCAUAUCUCUGAAGUAUUUGCUUACUGCGUUAGGCUAGCUGGCCUUCUAAAUUGGCCUUCAUAACGGAACAGUGCUACCAAUUCUUGUUUUACUUAAACAUUGUCUUUAGAUUACUUACUUUCUUCGGAUAGAAGAUGCACGAAGAUACUACCAGUUCCCAUAUAAUUUGGUCUGUGUGCUGUACUGUCACCCUUCAGAAGUUGUAUCAAUGUGCAUAUCCUGUAGACUGAGCCUGGCUGUCUCUCUGCAUGUAUCAUCUGUAAUAUGUAUUGAGUGAGCUACUUAGUGCUAAUUGGUUUGGUCACUCGUAAAUAUUGGCAACUUGUCAUGGAACAAUGAGGGCACUAAACCUUGCUCCAGCUGCAAUGGAGUUCAUUACCAAAUCGUACUGAGUUGCUGGACAGUUGAAACAUUAAAGUUAGUUCAUCCGGCUAGCUGAUUCUUGCUUCGAUCCAUCUGCAUUCUGAUGUUUCAUUCCUCUUGCUGAGAUAAUUGCUGUUUAGCCCCCAUGCAAUUUGUGUGCCCUGUUUGUGCUGUAAACCGAAGCAAAACUUCCUUCAGUUCAGAAAACACUUGCAGCUAACAAUAGUGUGUGUUAGUCUGUACUUAUGAUCUCCUUUUUUAUGAUACUUGGGCUCUUGUUCUGUUACCUCGGCCAUUCAGGUAUUCGUAUGAUCCAAUGGACAAUUGCUUGUUUUUGGAUGCCAUGUGACUCGUCCACAUCAAAAUUCCUUGAUUGAUGGUGUUACCAUAGUUUCUUAUUUAUAGAGGCUGGAAGAAAUAUAAAUGGUUAACGGUCUUGCAAAACAUUAUCUUCCUUGGAGAAUUGUGUUGAAUAGUUCCAUAUUGGUUGUGGAGGGACAAUGUACCUAGGAUAUAAGUGGGGGAGCCCCUCACCUUAUUGGCUAGCUUUUGAGGUGAGAAAUGCCCUUUAUGAUCCUACAAGUAGUAUCAGAGCUUGACUAGUUUAACAUCUCUGGCCCGAUGGACAUAGUGUGUGAAGGCCUAAUGGACCGUAGGGUGUCUGUGGGAUGCGGGGCCUGUAUACCUAAUGGACCGUGGGCUGGUGAUAGCUCGGAUACGGUGAAGGGGCGGUGAAGGGCUGAGGGACACCAAUGUGUGAAGGAGAAGAUUGUUAAAUAGUCCCACAUUGGUUGUGGACGGGCAAUGGAUCUAGGAUAUAAGUGGGGAGGAGCCCUUCACCUUAUUGACUAGCUUUUGAGAUAAAAAGACCUUCUACGAUCAUAUAAAUUGUCUGAGAGAACGCAAGAGAAAAGAAAAACACAUUGACGUUUCAAACUGAAAAACACAGAGCCCUAAGUGUCUUGAUAGUGGUUUCUUGUCUAUUAUUUUUCAUGCAUUGCUAGAUUUAAGCUUGGUCAUGCCAUGUAGAAAACGGAUACGAUUAACAUCUCGCCUGCAUCUCCAUAUGUAGAAUGCUUCUCUCAUCUUAUUCUAAGGUGCCUGGGCCAGCGAACAACCGAUGGUUUGGCUUCUGCAGAUCGCCAUGAGGUGCAUCGAUGCCUUCUCGCUGCCGCCGACCAUGAGAGAGGUCAUCGGAAUGGUGAACGCCAUCUGCGAGGAGCACGACAGGUCGAUCUCCUCGGAAGCAUGAGCGCGACACGGACAAACACCGAGCAACUGAGCAGUAUUUGCAGUGCAAAAAUUACCUCACUGUGUGCAGUUUGGCAAUUUUAGUUAAUAUGCUGUCAAAAUUUUGUUUAAAUUAAUUUAGAUUUGAACUGAAAUUAGUUCAAAUUUUAGUACAUUUCUCAAUUUAAUCAAACUUCACUGAAAUAUUAAACAAAUUUGUCUCAAAU
rnacentral:lncRNA from 1 species